rnacentral:lncRNA from 1 species
AUUAGCUGAGUGUAGUCAUCAAUGUCAUCACACAAUGAUUCAACCGCUGUCUCAUCAAAAUAUAGUUCUCUCGCGGAGGAAUAUAAUCGAUGACUACUCCCAGUACUUGAAUACUGUUCACACUUCACUUGCUUGUCUGACUGCAGCGAAGGAAGACGUGAAUUUAAAUUGUAAGUUAAAAUUCAAAAUACAUUUCCUUAUUGUCAAGUACUAACAUUACUUUUCAUUUUAAAAAAGGGAAUUUAAAUUAUGCAGAUUACUGUCUAUUGAGGCCGGUUAAACAUUCAAUGCACGAUUACACAUAUAUAUGUCAAAAACUUAUAUUAUAAAUAAUAUUUAUUUUGUAGAUUAACCAUGGCAGACAAACCAGAUCUCGAGGAAGUAACUAAGUUUGAUAAAUCAAAAUUGAAGAAAACAGAAACACAAGAGAAAAACCCUUUACCGACCAAAGAAAGUAAGUAUAUAUUUUCUUUUCAUAUUUUUUUUCUUUCAUGCUUAUUUGUAAGCUAUUUCAGAGAAGCUUUUGUAUAAGCCGAUGCGGUGCUGCCCGCAGUGAAAUGGCCCUCUUGUUAUGUAAAUAUUAUAUUUAUUUAUUAUGACAGCUUCUUUCACGCAACGCUUCUUUAUUUGUCCGAGUAUUUGUCAAAGGAUAGAGGUAAAAUAGUUUUACACUGGUGUUUGUUACCCCCUUGUUGAACUUUAAUGGUCUUGGGUUUUUUAAACAAAGAAGAGUAGACGCACCUUUUAAUCUAUUUGCUUAGGUCAUUUUACUUUUAACAGGGAUAUGUAUUAAAAAGUAAAAGUAUUUCUACAAUUUCUUCUCACUUCCUAUGUCUGCAGGUGGGGCACGCCUGUCGGCAAAUUGGUAUCAUAGUAGGGACAAAGGUUAAUCCAAGUCAAGAGGCCACAAAAUAGCCAUAUAGUUUUAUGGAGAAAUAACAUCAUUUUACGAUAUAAUUUAUAAUAAUCAAAUUUUUCUCUGUUUUUGAUCGAUUUAUUAAACGGGAAAUUAUAACCCUCGUUUGACAUCGUCUGCUAGCUAUAGACAGAUGUUUCCUAUGAGUCACAUGUAAUGCAUUUUCUUUCUACUGUCGUAUGCAAAUUCCAUUCAUUUUAUGUAGAAAUUAAGAUGUUAUAUUUGACUGUUGACCCCAAAUACUUCCUUUUUGUUACAUAAUCUUGUGUUAUUCAAUCUAAUUAAGAAUAUUUAUCAAGCGAAAUGCAUUGUUAAUUGGCGGCAAAUAUCAUUGAGCAGACGAUGACAGAUAUGUGUAGUGGAAUAGUACAUGCAUGUUGAUCUUUACCAUGUUUACCGUAGCAUUAAUGGGGCGAAUAUGAUGAAUGUUCCAUACCCAUACAAAACAAAGAUUUUGGAUAUAACAAACAUUCUUUUUCAAACAAGGUUAAGACCCUAUCCUAUAUGGUCUGCUGUAAUACCAGUCGCUUUGUUCUGUUUUCAUGCUUAUACUUUAAAAUCGUUACUCCAUUAGAAAUGUGUUUUCUUGUCUCAUUUCCGACAUAUAUGAUUUCUGCAGAAAGUUGCAAAUAAAGUCUAGAGAUGUAUGCGGAUCCGGGAUUUUGGAAAAAAGGAGACCCCAAAACUAGGUAACGUUAGGAAUAGAACAUAUUAGAAUAGUACGCAUUAACUAUUUGUUCAGUCUGCAGAGGCAGAUUUAGAGCCAGUACAGGUGGCUCUACCCUUGUGUGGGAAAAUAUGAAUAAAGGAAUCACUGGAGCGGGCACCACUUACGUAAAUUUCCGCUACUAGUAAUCCAUAAAGGGACAGACCCUCCCACCCUCUUUUCCUAUCUUAAAUCCGCCUUUGUAAUAACGAGAAACAUUUCAAAUAUAUUCAGACGUUUUUGGAAAUUUAAGAAAUUUCUAACGUGAAAAGUGAUUUUAAGUUAAAUGGAACCUAAAGUACAACUGCAUGUUAACCUUCCGAUUAUGGAUUCCAGGAUUACACGAUUAUUGAUCAAGCACAGCUACAUAUACUUUUUGAAUAGUUUCCAUAUCAACGUUAAUCAAUUGGGCAAAAACAAUAAAUACUGUGUUUAAUAUAACAAUCCAAUCUUUUUAUACACUGCUCUAUUUUUACCGCAGUCAACUGUCUCGAAAGAUGGAUUGAUUUCCUACACAUAAUCGUAGUUUUGCGGUUAUCCGUUUAUCCUGAAAACCAGACAGAUAUUUUUUUGCAUUUUAUGCUUUAUGUGGGAUGAUUCACAUUCUCGUUCACAUUUUUUAACCACAACAUAUAAAUUAUUUUCAUGUAUUUUAAUCAACAAAAUGAACUCCGACAAAUGAAAUCAAUGAUGAUAGAGUAGACGGAUGACUCAACUGAAAUGGAAUUUUUAGAAUUUCAACAUCAGCAGCAGACGAACUUUUCAACCAUUUUCUCAUCAUCUCGGGUUUCUAUUUUUCUGAUGACUAAGAACGGAUUAAAGGAAAGCCUUAUCAUGCAGUUAUCAUAUUAUUUAUCAAAAGCAGAUUAAAAUCAUGACACGCUAUCUGGUUUCCGUCUGCUCCUGGCCAUUGAGGUUGUGACCCCACAUGAGGUCCAUCCUGGUCAUUAGUUGUUAAUUUAUAACUUUUAAUUAUUGAUUUGAUCAAUGGGUGAUCGAACAGAUAAUCUGUUAAUGUACUGUUAUACUCCUGGGUAAAUAAAGAUAACGGAUUUAUAUGCAGCGUCUUUUUGUAGCAAAGAGAAGCUCUUGGGAAUCCGACAUUUGGUCAAAUUCUGCAUAUUAUCAUACCCGAAUAAUCAAGUCGACUAUCCAACCUGAAUAGUCCAGACUAGACUUGCUACAAUUCCCUUUCUAAUAUUUCUCUCUUACUAAUUUAUAUGUUUACUGAUAAGUGCCAGCCUACUGAUUGCCCUUGGAGAAAUUCCUCCUGCAGAUGUCAGUAUAAUUGUAAUCUCCUAGUUAUAGCAGUAAAAUUAUUAAAGGGGCAAAAUUGAAAAAAUAAUAAUAAUUAGGAAGGGACAUGUAGCAAGUCUAAGUCCAGACGUACAUGGUAAAUUCCUUCCACUAUCAUCUCUCGUUGGGAUACUGACCGAUAGGGGGUACAUUAUACGAGUUACAAGCUAUCAUAAAAUUUGGGUUCCGAAUAAACUAUUCUGCACUUUAAAAAAACGUCAAUAUCGUAUGCUGUAAACAUUAUGCAUAGGGAAGUAUAUUUCGAAAAUGUGAAAGGGGGCGUAUGAUCCAGUUAAAGUGUAUUUGUAAUGAUUUGUAUGAAAAUUUUAAAAGUGAAACAACUAAUCUUAAUAUUGCAAUAUUUUAAACAAUUACCGUACUUUUCAUAGGAAUUAGAUUUUUGUUCAGGUCAUAAACAUUUUUGUUUUGAUUUCCAUUUUAUUGUUUGUUUAUUUAUUGUUUGUUUUCUUUUAUCUUUUUAGCAAUUGAACAAGAGAAGACGGCAUAGUUGUCAGUUUGUGAUGCUACAGAAAUUUGGAGGCCUUUUCAUUCCAUCCACACCCUGAGAAUUUCAUCAAGCCAGGGACUAAAUUUGACUUUUGUCUCCGAAGAUAUAUACGUGCUCAUUAUAUUUAUGAAUUUAUGAAAGAAUUCCAUUUUGUAUGAUGUUUUUGUUAGGCAACAAGCAUAUUUUUUUAUUUUCAUGCAAAUUAUUUACAUAAACUUGCGAUGGGUUCAAAAUGGGGGAACUAUCAUAAUGUUGAAAAUUCAUUAAAAUGCUUCUUAAUCAGCGGCUUUGAACUAAAAAAAAAAGGUGGUUCAAGUUGAACGGGUGUGAUCCGAUGAAAAGAAAAGUAUUGUUGAUGCAAGCAAUGUGAUUAUCAGAUAUGUAGUGGCCCUGUUUUAAUCACUUCAUGCAAGCUUAGGUAUUUAAUAAAUUGUAUAACUUUUUAUAAACAUCUUGUUUGUUUGGUUUAUUUCAUUUCCAUUAUUAAGACAUUACACGGA